UAAAGGAGAAAGAUACACCGUUAAUACUGGGGACACCUUGUAGUGGUGACCCAAAUAAAAAGACUCAGAAGAAGGAAACUUUGCUUUUAGUCUGCUUGCUUUCACUCGUGAUGGCAAGUUCACCAUCCUGCUACUGUGGCAUUCCUUUGCCGAUAUGAGAACCAACUUUUCCGAGCUUCCAAUGUAGACCGAAGGCCAGCUAGUGCCACAAUGGGAAUGCUAAGACUUCCAGCCCUGUGGAUCGAGCAACUACUAUGUUGGACUUUCCAAGUUUGAAGCAUCACUGGGUACUGAAUUGUGUUGAACCAAACUGCCUUUUUGCCUCUCUGGAUCAUGACAUCUGCUGGCCAAGGUGUUCUCUGAGACCCCUUCAAACACCCUGGAAGUCAACCUAGUAAAGCCCAUGUGUUCUACCA
rnacentral:sRNA from 1 species